rnacentral:rRNA from 1 species
AUAUCAAUAAGCGGAGGAAAAGAAACUAACAAGGAUUCCCCUAGUAACGGCGAGUGAAGCGGGAAAAGCUCAAAUUUAAAAUCUGGUAGUCUUUGGCUAUCCGAGUUGUAAUCUAGAGAAGUAUUUUCCGCGUUGGACCAUGUACAAGUUUCCUGGAACGGAACGUCAUAGAGGGUGAGAAUCCCGUCCUUGACAUGGACUACCAGUGCUUUGUGAUAUACUCUCAAAGAGUCGAGUUGUUUGGGAAUGCAGCUCAAAAUGGGAGGUAAAUUCCUUCUAAAGCUAAAUAUUGGCGAGAGACCGAUAGCGCACAAGUA